CUGCCAGUAGUCAUAUGCUUGUGUUAAAGAUUAAGCCACGCAUGUCUUAGUUCAAGGUAGAUUCAAACCGAAACUGCGGAUGGCUCAAUAAAUCAGUCAUAAUUAAUUUGGUGAUAAAGAUUAAAUGGAUAACCCUGUCAAUUGUAGAGCUAAUACAUGAAUAAUAUAUCUGAUCGGAGAGUCUCUGUGUGAAGGGGCGUGCAAACGUUUCUCCACAUAGGGAAAGGAUGAGAGGAUAGCAUUUGUCAGCUCGAAAUAGUUAACCAAGUCCCAUCACAAUCUUGCGACCCGAGGAAGCAAAAGGAGAAAAAAACCAACAAAUCCAACACGACGGGGGCGCUGAGAGGUGCGGACGCACAGAAGAGACGAAAGAAGACAAAACCCAAAGUAAAAUUUGAAUGCGAAUCGCAGUUAAAGGAGGGCAACCUCCGGCGAUAGACCAAACGAAUGACUGACCUAUCAAGCUGAUGGUAAGGCAGUGGCUUACCAAGCUAACCACGGGUAACGGGGAAUUAGGGUUCGAUUCCAGAGAGGGAGCCUGAGAAACGGCUACCACUUCUAAGGAAGGCAGCAGGCGCGUAAAUUACUCGGUGUCGAUACGGCGAGGUAGUGACGACAAAUACCAAUGCCAUUCGGCCUCACGGUCGUUGGUAAUUGGAUGAGCACAAUGUAAAAUAUGGGCGAGUAACAAUUGGAGGGCAAGUCUGGUGCCAGCAGCCGCGUAAUUCCAGCUCCAAGAGUGUAUACUAAAGCUGUUGCGGUUAAAAAGCUCGUAGUUAAUCUUGGGGGUUUUCGGAGGGUGUGGAGAGGAAGGGCUUUCGGGCCAAUAAUUUCCCCCCUUGAUGGCCAUCGCAAAGAUGACCAAAGAAUUAAAUUGAGAUCAUCAGUGUUUUGUUUUGGGGAAGGGAAGAGGCAACUGGGGGAGUCAAAUCCUUUAGGGGUUUUUUUCUUUUCUUGGGGCAAGGACCUGGCGGUUAAGAUUGUUAAUUCUUAAGCCUCUAUCUGAUUCAGAUUAUUUUGGCCUGUACUUGACUGUCUGGGCUUUUUAAAAAUACUGAAUAAAUUACUUUGAAUAAAUUAAAGUGAUCAAAGCGAAUUUGUAAAAAUUAUGAAUAAAUUAGCAUGGAUAAUAAUAAAAUAAAUCAACUCUUUGGAAACAAUUAAACAUUAUUUGUUGGUUUUUGAAUGGGACGAUCCAUGAAAGACGGACCUCUUGAAUAGAGAGGACGUUAAUUUUAUGACCUAAAAACAUUUCGUGGAUAACAGAAAUAAAGGUCCGAAUUAAAAAACUCAAAGAGUUAAUUUUCCCCCACUUUCUGGGGGAAAACCUAUCGAAUUUAUAAUAGGAACAAAUGGGGUGGUUUAUAUUUUAUAGCGAGGGGUGAAAUCCUAUGACCUAGAAAAGAUAAACAAAAGCGAAAGCAUUCCACAAAAAUGUUUUCAUUAAUCAAGAACGAAAGUUGGGGGAUCGAAGACGAUCAGAUACCGUCGUAGUCUC
rnacentral:rRNA from 1 species